GUCUGGCUGGCUCAGUCAGUAGAGCGUGUGACUCUUGAUCUCGGGAUUGUGAGUUCGAGCCCACGUUGGGUG
rnacentral:tRNA from 1 species